GAGACGUGGCCGAGUGGUCGAAGGCGCUCCCCUGCUAAGGGAGUAGGCCCGGAAGGGUCUCGUGGGUUCGAAUCCCAUCGUCUCC
rnacentral:tRNA from 1 species